rnacentral:rRNA from 1 species
ACGUAGGGUGCAAGCGUUAUCCGGAAUUAUUGGGCGUAAAGAGCUCGUAGGCGGUCUGUCGCGUCUGCUGUGAAAUCCCGAGGCUCAACCUCGGGCUUGCAGUGGGUACGGGCAGACUAGAGUGCGGUAGGGGAGAUUGGAAUUCCUGGUGUAGCGGUGGAAUGCGCAGAUAUCAGGAGGAACACCGAUGGCGAAGGCAGAUCUCUGGGCCGUAACUGACGCUGAGGAGCGAAAGGGUGGGGAGCAAACAGGCUUAGAUACCCUGGUAGUCCACCCCGUAAACGUUGGGAACUAGUUGUGGGGUCCUUUCCACGGAUUCCGUGACGCAGCUAACGCAUUAAGUUCCCCGCCUGGGGAGUACGGCCGCAAGGCUAAAACUCAAAUGAAUUGACGGUUUUA